UACGGGGGGGGCAAGCGUUGUUCGGAAUUACUGGGCGUAAAGGGCUCGUAGGCGGCCAACUAAGUCAGACGUGAAAUCCCUCGGCUUAACCGGGGAACUGCGUCUGAUACUGGAUGGCUUGAGUGUGGGAGAGGGAUGCGGAAUUCCAGGUGUAGCGGUGAAAUGCGUAGAUAUUGGGAAGAACACCUGAGGCGAAGGCGGGAUGCUGGGCCGACACUGACGCUGAGGCGCGAAAGCCAGGGGAGCGAACGGG
rnacentral:rRNA from 1 species